CCAUCAUUUAGUUGGGCACUCUAAGUUGACUGCCGGUGACAAACCGGAGGAAGGUGGGGAUGACGUCAAAUCAUCAUGCCCCUUAUGAUUUGGGCUACACACGUGCUACAAUGGACAAUACAAAGGGCAGCGAAACCGCGAGGUCAAGCAAAUCCCAUAAAGUUGUUCUCAGUUCGGAUUGUAGUCUGCAACUCGACUACAUGAAGCUGGAAUCGCUAGUAAUCGUAGAUCAGCAUGCUACGGUGAAUACGUUCCCGGGUCUUGUACACACCGCCCGUCACACCACGAGAGUUUGUAACACCCGAAGCCGGUGGAGUAACCAUUUUGGAGCUAGCCGUCGAAGGUGGGACAAAUGAUUGGGGUGAAGUCGUAACAAGGUAGCCGUAUCGGAAGGUGCGGCUGGAUCACCUCCUUUCUAAGGA
rnacentral:rRNA from 1 species